AACGAACGCUGGCGGCAGGCUUGACACAUGCAAGUCGAACGCCCCGCAAGGGGAGUGGCAGACGGGUGAGUAACGCGUGGGAAUCUACCUAGUUCUACGGAACAACAGUUGGAAACGACUGCUAAUACCGUAUACGCCCUAUGGGGGAAAGAUUUAUCGGAAUUAGAUGAGCCCGCGUAAGAUUAGCUAGUUGGUGAGGUAAUGGCUCACCAAGGCGACGAUCUUUAGCUGGUCUGAGAGGAUGAUCAGCCACACUGGGACUGAGACACGGCCCAGACUCCUACGGGAGGCAGCAGUGGGGAAUAUUGGACAAUGGGCGCAAGCCUGAUCCAGCCAUGCCGCGUGAGUGAUGAAGGCCUUAGGGUUGUAAAGCUCUUUCAGUAGGGAAGAUAAUGACGGUACCUACAGAGGAAGCCCCGGCUAACUUCGUGCCAGCCGCCGCCGUAACAC
rnacentral:rRNA from 1 species